UGGAUCCAGACUUUGAUCCUGGCUCAGGACGAACGCUGGCGGCGUGCUUAGCACAUGCAAGUCGAACGAGGAUGUUGGCUUCGGCUGACAUUCGAGUGGCGGACGGGUGAGUAACGCGUGAGCAAUCUGUCCCACAGAGGGGGAUAACAACUGGAAACAGUUGCUAAUACCGCAUAAGACCACACUGUCGCAUGACAGAGAGGUCAAAGGAGCAAUCCGCUGUGGGGUGAGCUCGCGUCCGAUUAGUUAGUUGGUGAGGUAACGGCCCACCAAGACAGCGAUCGGUAGCCGACCUGAGAGGGUGAUCGGCCACAUUGGGACUGAGACACGGCCCAGACUCCUACGGGAGGCAGCAGUGGGGAAUAUUGGGCAAUGGGCGAAAGCCUGACCCAGCAACGCCGCGUGAGGGAAGAAGGUUUUCGGAUUGUAAACCUCUGUCCUAAGGGACGAAGGAAGUGACGGUACCUUAGGAGGAAGCCCCGGCUAACUACGUGCCAGCAGCCGCGGUAAUACGUAGGGGGCGAGCGUUGUCCGGAAUGACUGGGCGCAAAGGGCGUGUAGGCGGCAGUAUAAGUCCGGAGUGAAAGUCCUGCUUUCAAGGUGGGAAUUGCUUUGGAGACUGUACAGCUUGAGUGCGGAAGAGGUAAGUGGAAUUCCCAGUGUAGCGGUGAAAUGCGUAGAGACUGGGAGGAACACCAGUGGCGAAGGCGACUUACUGGGCCGUAACUGACGCUGAGGCGCGAAAGCGUGGGGAGCGAACAGGAUUAGAUACCCUGGUAGUCCACGCGGUAAACGAUGAAUGCUAGGUGUAGGGGGUAUCGACCCCUUCUGUGCCGGAGUAAACACAAUAAGCAUUCCGCCUGGGGAGUACGGCCGCAAGGUUGCAACUCAAAGGAAUUGACGGA
rnacentral:rRNA from 1 species